GACGAACGCUGCCGGCGUGCUUAACACAUCCAAGUCGACCGAAAAGCCCUGGUUUUGUGGGGUGCUCCAGUGGCGGACGGGGGAGGAACACCUGGGGUACCUGCCCCUUACCUUGGGGGAAUCUCAGGAAAAUGGGGGUUAUACCGGCUAAGAGUUUCUGCCGCCUGGUUGGGGUUGGGAAGUUUGGGGGGUUGGGGAUGGAUACGCGGGUUAUCGGCUUGCUGGUGGGGGUGGGGCUUACCAAGGCUUUGCCGGGUAGCCGGCCUGGGAGGGCGACCGGCCACAAUGGGACUGAGAUACGGCCCAGACUGCUACGGGAGGCAGCAGUGGGGAAUAUUGCACAAUGGGCGGAAGCCUGAUGCAGCAACGCCGCGUGCGGGAUGACGGCCUUCGGGUUGUAAACCGAUGUCGCCUGUGACGAAGCGUGAGUGACGGUAAUGGGUAAAGAAGCACCGGCUAACUACGUG
rnacentral:rRNA from 1 species